rnacentral:misc_RNA from 1 species
CAAGAGUAUUUCAGUUUGGCUUUAUGCCCUCUGAAAAUCUCCACCCUUGUUACAUUACUCUUUGGUGUGCCUCGGGCGCUAGCUAUCCGGACCCUCGCCCGGCGGCCCCGCGGACACCUCAAAACUCUUGAUUAAUACUAUAGUUCAGUAGCUGAGUGUACAAGCAAAGAUUAAUAAGUCA